UACGGGAGGCAGCAGUGGGGAAUAUUGCACAAUGGGCGCAAGCCUGAUGCAGCCAUGCCGCGUGUAUGAAGAAGGCCUUCGGGUUGUAAAGUACUUUCAGUCGUGAGGAAGGUGUUAAGGUUAAUAACCUUAGCAAUUGACGUUAGCGACAGAAGAAGCACCGGCUAACUCCGUGCCAGCAGCCGCGGUAAUACGGGAGGGUGCGAGCGUUAAUCGGAAUUACUGGGCGUAAAGGGCACGCAGGCGGUUAAUUAAGUUGGAUGUGAAAUCCCCGGGCUUAACCGUGGGAAUGGCAUUCAAGCUGGUUAGCUAGAGUCUUGUAGAGGGGGUAGAAUUCCAUGUGUAGCGGUGAAAUGCGUAGAGAUGUGGAGGAAUACCGGUGGCGAAGGCGGCCCCUGGACAAAGGCUGACGCUCAUGUGCGAAAGCGUGGGGAGCAAACAGGGAUUAGAUACC
rnacentral:rRNA from 1 species